rnacentral:snoRNA from 1 species
ACCCUCUCAGGGUCGCAACUGGAGAGUUUCCUGUACUCUACCGGUCUCGGCUACGGGAGGGAGAGUCAAGCAGAGACCUACCCCUUCCAUUCCUAGCUUGGCCAGUGGCUAGCGAGUGGAAAGCCAUCUGCUAUAAGU